UCCUCCCUCUGGCGGCGUGCUUAACACAUGCAAGUCGAACGGAAAGGCCCUGCUUUUGUGGGGUGCUCGAGUGGCGAACGGGUGAGUAACACGUGAGUAACCUGCCCUUGACUUUGGGAUAACUUCAGGAAACUGGGGCUAAUACCGGAUAGGAGCUCCUGCUGCAUGGUGGGGGUUGGAAAGUUUCGGCGGUUGGGGAUGGACUCGCGGCUUAUCAGCUUGUUGGUGGGGUAGUGGCUUACCAAGGCUUUGACGGGUAGCCGGCCUGAGAGGGUGACCGGCCACAUUGGGACUGAGAUACGGCCCAGACUCCUACGGGAGGCAGCAGUGGGGAAUAUUGCACAAUGGGCGGAAGCCUGAUGCAGCAACGCCGCGUGCGGGAUGACGGCCUUCGGGUUGUAAACCGCUUUCGCCUGUGACGAAGCGUGAGUGACGGUAACGGGUAAAGAAGCACCGGCUAACUACGUG
rnacentral:rRNA from 1 species